rnacentral:rRNA from 1 species
UACGUAGGGACCAAGCGUUGUUCGGAUUUACUGGGCGUAAAGGGCGCGUAGGCGGCAAUUCAAGUCAGCUGUGAAAUCUCCGGGCUUAACUCGGAACGGUCAGCUGAUACUACUUUACUAGAGUGCAGAAGGGGCAAUCGGAAUUCUUGGUGUAGCGGUGAAAUGCGUAGAUAUCAAGAGGAACACCUGAGGUGAAGACGGGUUGCUGGGCUGACACUGACGCUGAGGCGCGAAAGCUAAGGUAGCAAACGGG